rnacentral:rRNA from 1 species
UACAGAGGUCCCAAGCGUUGUCCGGAUUCACUGGGCGUAAAGGGUGCGUAGGUGGUGAGGUAAGUCGGAUGUGAAAUCUCCGAGCUCAACUCGGAAAUGGCAUUGGAAACUACCUUGCUAGAGGAUUGGAGGGGAGACUGGAAUGCUUGGUGUAGCAGUGAAAUGCGUAGAUAUCAAGCGGAACACCAGUGGCGAAGGCGAGUCUCUGGACAAUUCCUGACACUGAGGCACGAAAGCCAGGGGAGCAAACGGG